CCCCUCUUAGGAUCACAUCUGGAGAGUUUCCCAUACUCUACCAGUCUCAGCUAUGGAAGGGAGAGUGAAGCAGAAGCAUACCCAUUCCAUUCCUAGUUUGGCCAAUGGCUAGCAAGUGGAAAACAAUCUGCUAAAAGU